rnacentral:lncRNA from 1 species
CAGAAUGCCAUGGGUACCAGGUUGGAUUUCAGUACUGCCUUCCACCCCCAGACGGACGAAUAGUCCGAAAGGACCAUCCAGACUAUCGAGGAUAUGCUCAGAAUGUGUGUGCUGGACUUUGGCGGUUCUUGGAGGCAGCAUCUACCUUUGGUGGAGUUUGCCUACAAUAACAGCCAUCAUGCUAGCAUCGGGAUGGCUCCAUAUGAAGCUUUAUAUGGGAGGAAGUGCAGGUCACCUGUUUGCUGGGAGGAAGUUGGAGAAAGGGCCUUGGCAGGGGCCUAAGCUAGUAGAGAUCACCAGCAGGGUGGUACCCAUAAUCAGAGAGAGAAUCAAGACUGCUGCAAGCAGACAGAAGAGUUAUGCAGACAUCCGCAGAAGACAGGUAGAGUUUCAGGAGGGGGAUCUGGUAUUGCUCAAAGUGUCUCCAAUGAAAGGAGUGGUUCGCUUUGGGAAGAAAGGUAAACUAGCCCCACGAUACAUCGGACCCUUUGAAAUCUUGCAGAAGAUUGGGAAUGUGUCGUACAAGCUAGAUUUGCCUGCUUCAAUGGCAAGAAUCCAUCCGGUUUUCCAUGUUUCAAUGUUGCGGAAAUUUGUGUCAGAUCCGGGCAAGGUUCUUAGUGAGCCUGAUGUGGAGAUCCAAGAGGAUUUCACCUAUGUUGAGCAGUCAGUGCGGAUCAUAGACACCCAGAUCAGAAAGCUGAGAAACAAGGAAAUCCCGAUGGUGAAAGUCCUUUGAAACCACCACAAUAUGGAAGAGUGCACUUGGGAGACACGGGAGUCCAUGCUCCAGCAAUACCCUUAUCUUUUCUAAGGUUAGUUCUUUGUGAGUUAUAUGUGCUUUACAUGUAUUUUAUGUGUAUGCCAUGCUUUGUGCUACUUGAGGAACAUUCGGGGACGAAUGUUCUUAAGGGGGGGAGAAUGUAAUACCCGGCUAGACUCCGGUAUCGGAAUUCCUACCAUCCGGUGGAAUCUCGGAUGUCGGAAGACUCUUGUAGGGUAGAAACAUGUUUUCAUAAAAUGUUUUAAUUGUUUUUGAUGGUUUUAAGUAAAGAGGAAAUGAGUUUUUGAAUAAAAACAACCUUGGAGGAAAACCCAGGUUCGGCCGCCGAACCUCAAGUUCGGCCGCCGAACAUGCAGGCAUUUCGGGUGUGCCUUAGGCCCCCGAAGGCAUAGGUUGAGGAAAGUCCAGGUUUGGCCGCCGAACCUCAAGUUCGGCCGUCGAACAUGGCAUGCAUGCGGAGGCACGUUCGGCCCCCGAACGUGGCCUGGCCAGCCACUAUAAAAAGGUCCCUUAGCCGAAAACGGGCGAGUUUUUCUCCCCAUUGUCGGCCAAGGUGAGCUCUCCGCCGUUCCUCACCAAUCCUUGAGUUUUUCCUUCAAAUCUUUCAAGAUUUUCAUAAGUUUUUGCUUUGUUUUGAAGAUUUUCGAGUUUAAAGCAAGUUUUGGAGCUUUGAGGUUCAAGAACUCAAAAAUCUCCCACCUCCGAGUUUAGGACGUCUCUCUCUCGAUCUUCAAGAGGUAAGAGCCGAUCUUAAGCUCAUUUCAUGUUUAAAGUAAGUUUUAUGCAAGAUCUAUGCGGUCAAGUUUAUGAUUAUGGCCAUGUUUAGUGCAUGCACAGGUUGAGUUUGGCGUAUGAGGAAUGAAUGCCAGAAAAGUUUUAAUUUUUAUGUAUGAUUGUUGAUCAUGUAUGGGAUUGAACAGGUUUACAGGUUACAUGUCAGGCUUGCUACGGGUCCCGGCGGCCUUAAGCCGAUCUGGAUCCUAGCGCCGGUAGCGGUCCGAUUUUCGGGUCGUUACAGAAUAUUGGAACAAUUGGUACUCACUCUCACCAGACUAUUCCCUUAAAGUGGGAGGUCAAGGGUUCGAGUAGUGGGGGAGGCGACCUAAUUUCCAAAGGGGAAUUUGGGCCAAAUCCACUUGGGGAAGGAUGCAUUCGAUGCAAGAAUCCAAGGGGACAAAUCCUGCCAGGAACCCGUGAGGGUGAAUGGAUGUUAAGAGCUGUUCACGACGCCAGUGGAAAGCCCGAGGUGGCAAGAGGCCAGGCGAGGGAUAGCCCUGGGCUGUGAACGGUAACAGUGCCGGGGAUCACGUCCGGGCUGUUACAAGUGUAUUCCAAAAACGCAGAGGAGCAUGCCCAUCAUCUGAGGAUAGUUUUGCAGACCCUGAGGGAGCACGGCUUGUAUGCCAAGUUCUCCAAAUGUGAAUUCUGGUUAAGGAGCAUCUCAUUCUUGGGGCAUGUUAUGUCAGAAAAAGGAAUUGAAGUGGACCCCAAGAAGGUAGAAGCUGUAUCUAACUGGCCCAGAACCACUAAAGUUACAGAGAUUAAGAGCUUUCUGGGUUUGGCAGGUUACUACAGGAGGUUUGUCUAGGACUUCUCCAAAAUUGCCGCUCCUAUGACCAGAUUGACCAAGAAAAAUCAGAGGUUUGUGUGGUCUGAACAAUGUGAGGAAAGCUUUGAAGAGCUGAAGAAAAGGUUGACGUCAGCACCGGUGUUAGCUCUGCCAACAAGUAAUGAAGACUUCACAGUGUUUUAUGAUGCAUCCCGUGUGGGACUAGGUUGUGUGUUGAUGCAGAAUGAAAGGGUAAUUGCUUAUACUUCUGGGCAGCUGAAGAAGCAUGAGUUGAAUUAUCCUACACAUGAUCUAGAGAUGACAGCUGUGAUCUUUGCACUCAAGAUGUGGAGGCAUUACCUAUAUGGGGUAAGAUGUGAGAUCUUUACAGAUCAUAAGAGUUUGCAGUACAUCUUGAGUCAAAAAGAGUUGAACCUGAGGCAGAGUAGGUGGGUAGAACUGCUUAGUGACUAUGAUUGCAAAAUUCAGUACCAUCCGGGUAAGGCAAAUGUUGUGGCAGAUGCCCUAAGCCAGAAAUCACUUGGUAGUUUAUCCCAUGUUACAACAGAGAGAAGACCGGUGGUGAGGGAAUUUUACAAGCUCUUUAAUGAAGGGCUGCAGUUGGAGUUGUCUGGUACAAGUGCUUUGAUAGCCCAGAUGAGAGUGACACCUGUGUUUCUGGAGCAAGUGGCUCAGAAACAGCAUGAAGACCCCGAGUUGGUGAAGAUAGCAAGAGCAGUCCAGGCAGGCAAGAAUGAAGAGUUCAGAUUUGACAAGAAAGGGAUCCUCCGCUAUGGGAACAUGUUAUGUGUACCAGAUGACGUGAGUCUGAAGGGAGACAUUAUGAGAGAAGCUCAUAAUGCCAGGUACAGUGUUCACCCUGGAGCCACCAAGAUGUACCAGGAUCUGAAAAGAGUUUAUUGGUGGUCAGCUAUGAAGAGAGAAGUGGCACAGUUCGUGUCCGCCUGCGAGGUAUGUCAGAGGGUGAAGCUGGAACAUCAGAAGCCGGCUGAAAUGCUUAAUCCACUAUCGAUUCUAGAGUGGAAAUGGGAGAAUGUAGCUAUGGACUUCGUAGUGGGGCUGCCAGCAAUGUCCAACAGGUUAGACUCCAUAUGGGUGAUUGUGGACAGACUGACCAAAUCUGCUCACUUCAUCCCUGUCAGGAGUGGUUAUUCUGUGGACAAAUUGGCGCAGUUGUAUGUUGAUGAAGUUGUCAGGUUGCAUGGGGCUCCCAUUUCAAUAGUUUCAGAUAGAGGACCCUAGUUCACCUCUAGGUUUUGGCAAAGUCUGCAGAAUACUAUGGGCACCAGGCUAGACUUUAGCACUGCCUUCCAUCCACAGACUGACGGACAGUCAGAGAGGAUCAUCAAGACUAUAGAAGAUAUGCUCAGAAUGUGUGUGCUAGAUUUUGGCGGUUCUUGGAGGCAGCAUCUACCCUUAGUGGAGUUUACCUACAAUAACAGCUAUCAUGCUAGUAUAGGGAUGGCUCCAUAUGAAGCUUUGUAUGGAAGGAAGUGUAGGUCACCUGUCUGCUAGGAAGAAGUUGGAGAAAGGGCCUUGGCAGGGCUUGAGCUAGUAGAGAUCACCAGCAGAAUAGUGCCCAUUAUCAAAGAAAGAAUCAGAACUGCUAUGAGUCGGCAGAAGAGCUAUGCAGAUGUCCGCAGGAAGCAUGUAGAGUUUCAGGAGGGAGAUAUGGUGUUGCUCAAGGUGUCUCCUAUGAAAGGGGUGAUUCAUUUUGGAAAGAAAGGUAAGCUAGCUCCACGGUACAUCGGACCCUUUGAAAUCUUGCAGAAGAUUGGGAAAGUAUCGUACAAGCUGGACCUACCUGCUUCAAUGGAGAGAAUCCAUCCGGUUUUCCAUGUUUCCAUAUUAUGGAAGUUUGUGUCAGAUCCAGGCAAGGUUCUUAAUGAGCCUGAUGUGGAGAUCCUAGGAGAUCUCACCUAUGUUGAACAGCCAGUGCGGAUCAUAGAC